GCAGGCCUAACACAUGCAAGUCGAGCGGUAGAGAGAAGCUUGCUUCUCUUGAGAGCGGCGGACGGGUGAGUAAUGCCUAGGAAUCUGCCUGGUAGUGGGGGAUAACGUUCGGAAACGGACGCUAAUACCGCAUACGUCCUACGGGAGAAAGCAGGGGACCUUCGGGCCUUGCGCUAUCAGAUGAGCCUAGGUCGGAUUAGCUAGUUGGUGGGGUAAUGGCUCACCAAGGCGACGAUCCGUAACUGGUCUGAGAGGAUGAUCAGUCACACUGGAACUGAGACACGGUCCAGACUCCUACGGGAGGCAGCAGUGGGGAAUAUUGGACAAUGGGCGAAAGCCUGAUCCAGCCAUGCCGCGUGUGUGAAGAAGGUCUUCGGAUUGUAAAGCACUUUAAGUUGGGAGGAAGGGCCAUUACCUAAUACGUGAUGGUUUUGACGUUACCGACAGAAUAAGCACCGGCUAACUC
rnacentral:rRNA from 1 species